AAAGGAAUAGACGGGGACCCGCACAAGCAGUGGAGCAUGCCCUUUAAUUCGAAGCAACGCGAAAAACCUUACCAAGACUUGACAUCCUCUGAAUAUCCGAGAAAUCGGCGUAGUUUAGCAAUAAACAGAGUGACAGAUGAUGCAUGGUUGUCGUCAGCUCGUGUCGUGAGAUGUUCGGUUAAGUCCGUUAACGAGCGCAACCCUUACCUUCAGUUGCCAAUAUUAAGUUAGGAACUCUGGAGGGACUGCCAUGGAUAACAUGGAGGAAGGUGGGGAUGACGUCAAAUCAUCAUGUCUCUUACGUCUUGGGCUAGAGGCGUGCUACAAUGGCCAUUACAAAGAGAAGCAAUAUCGCGAGAUGGAGCAAAUCCCAAAAAAGUGGUCUCAGUUCGGAUUGUAGGCUGCAACCCGCCUACAUGAAGCCGGAAUUGCUAGUAAUCCCAAAUCAGCAUGUUGGGGUGAAUACGUUCCCGGGUCUUGUACACACCGCCCGU
rnacentral:rRNA from 1 species